UACGUAGGUGGCAAGCGUUGUCCGGAUUUACUGGGUGUAAAGGGCGUGUAGCCGGGUUGACAAGUCAGAUGUGAAAUCCUGCGGCUUAACCGCAGAACUGCAUUUGAAACUGUUGAUCUUGAGUACUGGAGAGGCAGACGGAAUUCCUAGUGUAGCGGUGAAAUGCGUAGAUAUUAGGAGGAACACCAGUGGCGAAGGCGGUCUGCUGGACAGCAACUGACGGUGAGGCUCGAAAGCGUGGGGAGCGAACAGG
rnacentral:rRNA from 1 species